rnacentral:rRNA from 1 species
GACGAACGCUGGCGGCGUGCCUAAUACAUGCAAGUAGAACGCUGAAGGAGGAGCUUGCUUCUCUGGAUGAGUUGCGAACGGGUGAGUAACGCGUAGGUAACCUGCCUGGUAGCGGGGGAUAACUAUUGGAAACGAUAGCUAAUACCGCAUAACAGUAGAUAUCGCAUGAUAUCUACUUGAAAGGUGCAAUUGCAUCACUACCAGAUGGACCUGCGUUGUAUUAGCUAGUUGGUGAGGUAACGGCUCACCAAGGCGACGAUACAUAGCCGACCUGAGAGGGUGAUCGGCCACACUGGGACUGAGACACGGCCCAGACUCCUACGGGAGGCAGCAGUAGGGAAUCUUCGGCAAUGGACGGAAGUCUGACCGAGAAACGCCGCGUGAGUGAAGAAGGUUUUCGGAUCGUAAAGCUCUGUUGUAAGAGAAGAAAGAGUGUGAGAGUGGAAAGUUCACACUGUGACGGUAUCUUACCAGAAAGGGACGGCUAACUACGUG